rnacentral:rRNA from 1 species
CGAAAGAAAAAGAGUGGCGAACGGGUGAGUAACACGUGGGUAACCUGCCCAUCAGAAGGGGAUAACACUUGGAAACAGGUGCUAAUACCGUAUAACACUAUUUUCCGCAUGGAAGAAAGUUGAAAGGCGCUUUUGCGUCACUGAUGGAUGGACCCGCGGUGCAUUAGCUAGUUGGUGAGGUAACGGCUCACCAAGGCAACGAUGCAUAGCCGACCUGAGAGGGUGAUCGGCCACACUGGGACUGAGACACGGCCCAGACUCCUACGGGAGGCAGCAGUAGGGAAUCUUCGGCAAUGGACGAAAGUCUGACCGAGCAACGCCGCGUGAGUGAAGAAGGUUUUCGGAUCGUAAAACUCUGUUGUUAGAGAAGAACAAGGAUGAGAGUAAAAUGUUCAUCCCUUGACGGUAUCUAACCAGAAAGCCACGGCUAACUACGUGCCAGCAGCCGCGGUAAUACGUAGGUGGCAAGCGUUGUCCGGAUUUAUUGGGCGUAAAGCGAGCGCAGGCGGUUUCUUAAGUCUGAUGUGAAAGCCCCCGGCUCAACCGGGGAGGGUCAUUGGAAACUGGGAGACUUGAGUGCAGAAGAGGAGAGUGGAAUUCCAUGUGUAGCGGUGAAAUGCGUAGAUAUAUGGAGGAACACCAGUGGCGAAGGCGGCUCUCUGGUCUGUAACUGACGCUGAGGCUCGAAAGCGUGGGGAGCGAACAGGAUUAGAUACCCUGGUAGUCCACGCCGUAAACGAUGAGUGCUAAGUGUUGGAGGGUUUCCGCCCUUCAGUGCUGCAGCAAACGCAUUAAGCACUCCGCCUGGGGAGUACGACCGCAAGGUUGAAACUCAAAGGAAUUGACGGGGGCCCGCACAAGCGGUGGAGCAUGUGGUUUAAUUCGAAGCAACGCGAAGAACCUUACCAGGUCUUGACAUCCUUUGACCACUCUAGAGAUAGAGCUUCCCCUUCGGGGGCAAA